AAGGGGUUUUAGGACUAAUAGUUGGAAGGACACUGCCUUCGGGAGGCAGGGGCCGGAGGUUCAAAUCCUCUCACCCCG
rnacentral:tRNA from 1 species